GAUGAACGCUGGCGGCGUGCCUAAUACAUGCAAGUCGAGCGAACAGACGAGGAGCUUGCUCCUCUGACGUUAACGGCGGACGGGUGAGUAACACGUGGAUAACCUACUUAUAAGACUGGGAUAACUUCGGGAAACCGGAGCUAAUACCGGAUAAUAUAUUGAACCGCAUGGUUCAAUAGUGAAAGACGGUUUUGCUGUCACUUAUAGAUGGAUCCGCGCCGCAUUAGCUAGUUGGUAAGGUAACGGCUUACCAAGGCAACGAUGCGUAGCCGACCUGAGAGGGUGAUCGGCCACACUGGAACUGAGACACGGUCCAGACUCCUACGGGAGGCAGCAGUAGGGAAUCUUCCGCAAUGGGCGAAAGCCUGACGGAGCAACGCCGCGUGAGUGAUGAAGGUCUUCGGAUCGUAAAGCUCUGUUAUUAGGGAAGAACAAAUGUGUAAGUAACUAUGCACGUCUUGACGGUACCUAAUCAGAAAGCAACGGCUAACUACGUG
rnacentral:rRNA from 1 species